rnacentral:tRNA from 1 species
GCCAGUUUCCCUCGGCCCAGCCGCCCGGGCACCGUGCUGGGGAGCGGUUCGGCCCCGCCUGCGCUGCUGCUUCUGAUAACCUCCGGGGGGCGGGGAGGGCGGGGUGCUCAGCGGGGCUCCAGAACUCCGGUGCCUCAUGAAAUGGACCGCUUCGACCCCCGCCCCGUUUCUCCUCACCUCCCCUUUCACUUCUUGAAUUUGUACAGCGGCUACUGAGGCACCUCGUCCUGCAAUCCAGGGCCCCACGGGCCUUCCGACCGACCUGCAAGCUCAAUCGACGUUGGCCCAACUUUCCUUUUGUCCACGUGGGAGCAGUAACAGGCUCCCCUUUUUCACCCAGCCUGGGAGUGUCAAUGGAGGCCUGGCCAUGGUCGGUGUAACCCUGAACCUCAACCCCACCUAGAACUGCCUUGAAGUCCCCUGCGCAGCAGCCACGAAGCUCCCAGCUGACGGCGUACAAUUCCCAACCCAUUUCUGCUGGCGGCACCGCAGGAUCUAAGGGAGGCAGCAUUGUCUCCUGGAAGUCUCCAAACGCAGGGUGCAGAAAGAGACCACACCUCCUAGCCACACCCAGAACUCUGAGUUCCAAGCCUCAGUCCCAGGGCCCCAGCCGCUGCGUCCCAGAGCCGGGACUCCAAGAGUGUGUCCGCAGAAAAAAGUGGGCUCGUCCGGGAUUUGAACCCGGGACCUCUCACACCCAAAGCGAGAAUCAUACCCCUAGACCAACGAGCCGCCCUAGAGGAAAAAGCUGACUAGGAUCCUUGCAGUUCUGAGCCCCCGGCUCCGCCCCGCCUGGGGCUGGCCU